rnacentral:rRNA from 1 species
AUUGAACGCUGGCGGAAUGCUUUACACAUGCAGGUCGAGCGGCAGCGCGGGGCAACCUGGCGGCGAGCGGCGAACGGGUGAGUAAUGCAUCGGAACAUGUCCAUGUCGUGGGGGAUAGCCCGGCGAAAGCCGGAUUAAUACCGCAUACGCCCGAGAGGGGAAAGUGGGGACCGCAAGGCCUCACGCGAUUGGGUUGGCCGAUGUCCGAUUAGCUAGUUGGCGGGGUAAGAGCCCACCAAGGCGAUGAUCGGUAGCUGGUCUGAGAGGAUGAUCAGCCACACUGGGACUGAGACACGGCCCAGACUCCUACGGGAGGCAGCAGUGGGGAAUUUUGGACAAUGGGGGCAACCCUGAUCCAGCCAUUCCGCGUGAGUGAAGAAGG